rnacentral:lncRNA from 1 species
CUUGGAGAACAAGUAUGGGCACGUUAUUAUGGUUUCAGAUGGCUGUGGGCAGACAACUGAUCCUGUUUUGCCUUCUAUUCCUUUGCAAGACAGACACAACUAGAAUUACUCCCAGCUGUCAUCUAUGGACUUCUCAAAACUUCUUCACAAUUUGGAGGCUGGAAACAGCUGAAAGUACCGAUUAAAACCAUCUGACCCCAUGAAUCACCAAAACACUAGGGACACUGAUAAAAAGACUCGGGUGUACAGCAUCAAUGACUAAAAACAGAAAAAACCCUUAUCACUUUUAAGUUUUUACAGUUUAUACCAGUGUGGACUAUAAUUUAUGAAAGCAGAAAGCCUUUUGACUACAGCUUCUUCUCUGCCUCACAGUUUAUUUGGGAAACGGAGAGAACCUAGAUUCCAGUUCCAUUUCCUAGGUUAGUCACCAACAUUGUAUUUGCUGUAGCUUGUUACCUCUCUUUUCUGGAAUAUUUAACCACAGGAGUCUUAUGCAAAGGAAAUGGGGAGAUGGCAGUAAAUCUGGAGUGGUCAGAGUGCUGCUCUGCCUUUGCCUGCCUGGGCAGGAACGGGCAAACAGCUGGUAACUGCUGUUCAGGACUUGGGUAGAUUAUGUCAUUCCCAGAAACUGGCAUGCCAUUUGUGCAGUAGUUAGAUUUUUCUCCCCUAUGAACACCUCGCAAAGUAGGCUUUCAUGGGUCUGAUCCAGUAAUGGCAAUUUUGUACAAAUUUAGUUUAGUUCAAUGUCUUGGAAAUUACUUGAUUGAAAUGUAAUUGCUACUACUCUCCAGAGAACUGAAUUAUGCUAAUAAGAAAUAGUCUUAGUUUUCUAGUGCUUUAUUUAAGAUAUAAAAUAGAAAUUCAACCUCCCACACCCUUUUUUUAAUUUAUCAAUAAAGUCAUUCUAGUCCUUGCA